rnacentral:rRNA from 1 species
CCCUUAGAUGUUCUGGGCCGCACGCGUGCUACACUGAGUAAUUCAAUGGGUAAGGGAACGCUAGAGCAUUACCUAAUCUUGAAAUUUGCUCGUGAUGGGGAUCGACGGUUGCAAUUUUCCGUCGUGAACGAGGAAUACCUUGUAGGCGCAUGUCAUCAUCAUGCGCCGAAUACGUCCCUGCCCUUUGUACACACCGCCCGUCGCUCCUACCGAUUGAGUGAUCCGGUGAGGCUCUGGGACCUGGACGGAAAGAGCGUUUCGCUUGUUCUGUUUGGGAAACUUGGUCGAACCUUAUCAUUGAGAGGAAGGGGAAGGCGGAACA